ACGUAGGGUGCGAGCGUUAAUCGGAAUUACUGGGCGUAAAGCGUGCGCAGGCGGUUUUGUAAGCCAGAUGUGAAAUCCCCGGGCUUAACCUGGGAAUGGCAUUUGGGACUGCAAGGCUUGAGUUCGGGAGAGGGAUGCGGAAUUCCAGGUGUAGCGGUGAAAUGCGUAGAUAUCUGGAGGAACACCGGUGGCGAAGGCGGCAUCCUGGACCGACACUGACGCUGAGGAGCGAAAGCCAGGGGAGCAAACGGGA
rnacentral:rRNA from 1 species